rnacentral:rRNA from 1 species
GGCUUAUUGAUUAUAAUUUUAAGUCUAUCUGCCCAAUGAUUAAAUUGAAUGGCUGCAGUAUAAUUAACUGUACAAAGGUAGCAUAAUAAUUUGUUUUUUAAUUGAGAACUAGAAUGAAAGAAUAAAUGAGAUAUAUACUGUCUCAUAUAUAUUUGAUAAAUUUAAAUUUUUAGUAAAAAUGCUAAAAUAUAUUUAUGGGACGAUAAGACCCUAUAGAAUUUUAUAUUGAUAUUUUUUAAUUUAUUUAAUAAAAUAUUUAAUAUUUAAUUGGGAGGAUUAAUAAAUUAAAAUAACUUUAUCUUAAAAAUAGACUUUGGUUUAAGAAUAUAAUUUUGAUCUUGUAUUAUAAAUUGAAAGAAUAAAUUACCUUAGGGAUAACAGCGUAAUAUCUUUUUAAAGAUCAUAUUUAUAAAGAUGUUUGCGACCUCGAUGUUGAAUUAAGAUAAAUUUUAAAUGGAGAAGUUUAAAUAUUAAGUCUGUUCGACUUUUAAAAUCUUACAUGAUUUGAGUUCAAAUCGACGUGAGU